rnacentral:rRNA from 1 species
GACGAACGCUGGCGGCGUGCUUAACACAUGCAAGUCGAGCGGUAAGGCCCUUUCGGGGGUACACGAGCGGCGAACGGGUGAGUAACACGUGGGUGACCUGCCCUCAGCUCUGGGAUAAGCCUGGGAAACCGGGUCUAAUACCGGAUAUGACUCCAUGACGCAUGUUGUGGGGUGAAAGCCUUGUGCGGCUGAGGAUGGGCCCGNGGCCUAUCAGCUUGUUGGUGGGGUGAUGGCCUACCAAGGCGACGACGGGUAGCCGGCCUGAGAGGGCGACCGGCCACACUGGGACUGGGACACGGCCCAGACUCCUACGGGAGGCAGCAGUGGGGAAUCUUGCGCAAUGGGCGAAAGCCUGACGCAGCGACGCCGCGUGAGGGAUGACGGCCU